UUUUUUUUUUUUUUUUGUUAAAGGGUUUUCAUAAAUUUGAAUAGGAGCAGCAUACAAACAAGAAAAUGAAAUACAGGGAAAGGAGCACGGAAGCUCAAAUUGACACACCAAUUCCUACCCUAAAAAGGUACUAAACCAAAGCCUUUGAGCUUUCUACCACUGGUAAAGAUAAUCAACAAGAAAACAAUCACAUGAGAACC
rnacentral:lncRNA from 1 species